UUCUUUAAGGAUAAUAUUUAAAGUAAUUUCUGCCCAAUGAUAAAUCAAAUUUAAUGGCUGCAGUAUCUUGACUGUACAAAGGUAGCAUAAUAAUUAGUUUUUUAAUUGAGGACUGGUAUGAAUGGAUAAUUGAGGGAUUUUCUUUAUUAAUUUUAAUUCAAUAAUUUUAUUUUUUGAUUAAAAAGUCAAAUUUUUUUUUAGGGACGAUAAGACCCUAUAGAACUUCAAAAUUUAAUUUAUUAAUAUUUUUUUUGAUUUAUAAAUUAAAUUAAUUUAAGUAAUUUUUUAAUUGGGGUGAUUGAGGAAUCUUAUAAACUUUUUUCUUAUUGAAUCAUUAAUAAAUGUUUAUUUGAUCCUAUAGUUAGAUUUAAAGAUAAGUUACCUUAGGGAUAACAGCGUAAUUUCAAUUAUAAGUUCAUAUUUAAAUUUUAGUUUGCGACCUCGAUGUUGAAUUAAGAUAAUUUUUUGGUGCAUAGGCUUUAAUUUUAAGUCUGUUCGACUUUUAAAAUCUUACA
rnacentral:rRNA from 1 species